UACGUAGGGGGCAAGCGUUGUCCGGAAUCAUUGGGCGUAAAGAGCGUGUAGGCGGCCCGAUAAGUCCGCUGUGAAAGUCCAGGGCUCAACCCUGGAAUGCCAGUGGAAGCUGUCGGGCUGGAGUCCGGAAGAGGCGAGUGGAAUUCCUGGUGUAGCGGUGAAAUGCGCAGAUAUCAGGAGGAACACCAAUGGCGAAGGCAGCUCGCUGGGACGGUACUGACGCUGAGACGCGAAAGCGUGGGGAGCAAACAGG
rnacentral:rRNA from 1 species